GUCAAUUUUCUAAUAAAAUCAAAGCAAAAAAUUUCUUAAAACUAGAUUGGACACUUAUCAUGCUUACCUCACUAAACCUCAUUACUAUACUAACAAAAAAACUGAUAACUAUUUCAAAAUACGAUGGUAUGAAUGUUCUUCCUGGUUUUGAAAGAACGAUUCUUUUUAUAGACAUGAACGCGGCUGUCAAAGAGAGCACCCC
rnacentral:lncRNA from 1 species